rnacentral:rRNA from 1 species
UACGCCCUGAGAAGGGGAAAGAUUUAUUGGAGAGAGAUGAGCCCGCGUUAGAUUAGCUAGUUGGUGGGGUAAAUGCCUACCAAGGCUACGAUCUAUAGCUGGUCUGAGAGGACGAUCAGCCACACUGGGACUGAGACACGGCCCAGACUCCUACGGGAGGCAGCAGUGGGGAAUAUUGGACAAUGGGGGCAACCCUGAUCCAGCCAUGCCGCGUGAGUGAAGAAGGCCUUANGGUUGUAAAGCUCUUUCGCCGGAGAAGAUAAUGACGGUAUCCGGAGAAGAAGUCCCGGCUAACUUCGUGCCAGCAGCCGCGGUAAUACGAAGGGGGCGAGCGUUGUUCGGAAUAACUGGGCGUAAAGGGCGCGUANGCGGGUNAUUAAGUUANGGU